rnacentral:rRNA from 1 species
GAUCCUGCUCAGGAUGAACGCUAGCUACAGGCUUAACACAUGCAAGUCGAGGGGCAGCAUGAACUUAGCUUGCUAAGUUUGAUGGCGACCGGCGCACGGGUGAGUAACACGUAUCCAACCUGCCGAUGACUCGGGGAUAGCCUUUCGAAAGAAAGAUUAAUACCCGAUGGCAUAAUUCUUCCGCAUGGUAGAACUAUUAAAGAAUUUCGGUCAUCGAUGGGGAUGCGUUCCAUUAGGUUG